rnacentral:tRNA from 2 species
CGGGGCGUAGCGCAGCCUGGCAGCGCGUCAGCUUUGGGAGCUGAAGGUCGUGGGUUCGAAUCCCACCGCCCCGA